rfam:Schistosoma rodhaini strain Burundi genome assembly, scaffold: SROB_scaffold0001139
AUCCAGCUGACAAGUCCCAAAUAGGACGAAACGUGAAUCAAACUGGAU